UACAGAGGUCUCGAGCGUUGUUCGGAUUCAUUGGGCGUAAAGGGCUCGUAGGCGGUUUGUCGCGUCGGGAGUGAAAUCCACUGGCUUAACUGGUGGCUUGCUUUCGAUACGGGCAGACUGGAGGUAUGCAGGGGAGAACGGAAUUCCUGGUGUAGCGGUGAAAUGCGCAGAUAUCAGGAGGAACACCGGUGGCGAAGGCGGUUCUCUGGGCAUGUCCUGACGCUGAGGAGCGAAAGUGUGGGGAGCGAACAGG
rnacentral:rRNA from 1 species